CUGGACGUUGAUGGUAUUGGUUCUGGACGUUGAUGGUACUGGUACUAGACGUUGAUGGUAUUGGUUCUGGACGUUGAUGGUAUUGGUUCUGGACGUUGAUGGUAUUGGUUCUGGACGUUGAUGGU